rnacentral:lncRNA from 10 species
CUAGCUGUUGCUGGGCACCAGAGCUACAAACUUACAUGGGGUUAUGAUCAGUGCAAGCUAAGUAAUGGGGCAGCACAAAACAGAAGUUUAUGAAAUGAGUAAGCUGAGGAAGAGGAGAGGAGAAAGAGAGGAAGAGCAAGAGAGAAAAGGGGAGAGGGUGAGACAAAGGAAGGAGGGAAGGGAAAAGCAGGGGGAGAGAAAUGGGUCCGGAGUGGGGGAAUGAAGAGUAAGUGUGUGCAGAGAAAGUGAAAGAGUUUAGUUGGUUAUAGUGCUCCCCGCCAAGGUAUGUUCACCCAGAACCUCGGAAUAAGACCUUAUUUGGUGCACACUUACUAAGAACCAGGAAGAAAAAAAAGAAAAUAACAAAUUUAAAAAGAAAAAGAAAAAAUACCUUAUUGGAGAAAAAGGUCUUGGCAGAUGUAAUUGAGUUAAAGAUCUAGAGAUGAGAUAAUCCUGGAUUUAGGGUGGGCCCUAAAUCCAAUGACUGGUGUCUUCAUAUGGGAAAGGACGGAGACAUGACACCCAGAGACACAGCGGCGGGGCCAUGUAAAGAUGGAGGCAGAGAUUGGAGUAAUGUGGCCACAAGCCAAGAAAUGCCAAGGAUUGCUGAAGCCACCGGAAGCUGGGGGAGGCAGGGGAUGGAGGCUGCUUUCUCAGAGCCUCCAGAAGGAACCAACCCAGCCAAUACCUUCAUUUUGGACUUCAGGCCUCCAGAACUGUGAGAAAACAAACUUCUGUUGUUUGAAGCCACCCAGUUUGUGGUGACUUGCUAUGGCAGCCCUAGGAAUCUAUUUCAUCCUAAGAGAGAGGGAAAGGACAAGAGGAGGAGGAGGGAGGGCAAGGGAAGAAAGCAAAAGUGAAAGCAGGAAGGAAGAGGAGAGAGAAAAUCGAAGCAGAGGCACAGAGAGAGGUGCAGUACCAAGUGCUGUACAGGCAUUGUCUUCGCGGAUGCACCUGCUGCGACCUCACAUUAAAAGGAGAAACGGACGCUGAUCAGGGAGGAAAAGACCCUGCCCGAGGACCCUGGAAGAUGAAUAAAAUGGGGUCAGGAGAAGCAGCCCCCUCUCCAAAGCCAUGCAGCUUCUAAGUCACAACAGCCACCCCAGGCUUCAGGCUCCAAGACCAGCACUCUUGCUCCUGCUCCACAGCCACCAAGGUGCAUCAGUGUUCCAUCACCACUUGGGUGAUUCGCGGGCUGUCUUGCAUGUAUAAUACCUGAGUCCGAAUGCUGCCUCCCCACACUUACUGCUCCCGAAUUCUCCUUACUUUGGCCCUGUCUCUCAUGAGCCAACAGUGUCUGAAAUACCACCGUGGUAUUGAUUCCUUUGGAUUAUCCUCGUUUUCUUUUUUCUUUCUUUCUUUCUUUUUUUUUUUUUUUUUUGAGAUGGGGUCUCACUCUGUUGCCCAGGCUGGAGUGCAUGGCAUGAUCCCAGCUCACUGCAAUCUCCACCUCCUAGGCUCAAGCGAUCCUCCCACCUCAGCCUCAUGAGUACCUGGGGACCAGAGAUGCACACCACUUCAGCCAGCGAAUUUUUUUUUUUUUUUUUUGUAUUUUCAGUAGAGACAGCGUUUUGCCAUGUUGCCCCGGCUGGUCUUGAACUUCUGAGCUCAGGCAAUCCACCUACCUCAGCCUCCUAAAGUGCUGGGAUUGUAGGUGUGAGCCACCGUGCCCAGCCUGGAUUCUCCUCUUUAUGCUUCUUAUGGGAGUAGUAAUACAGACAACUAAUUUAAACUAUCAGAUCAAUUGCUUUUAAGAUCCUCUUUACCUCCUGAAGGAGAAGAUGCAGAGAAGAAAGGUCUUCAGGUAUCUUAGGAGAAUGGAUUGGAGAAGGGAAGGAACGUGACAAUGGUUCUAAAAGAGGGAAAAUGGUACUGAAAGAGGAGCUCAAUGCUCCUGAAGACAAACUACUCCAAUAUUGGAAUCUUUCUGUCUCUCUGUCACCAUAUUCCCCUUCUAAGGGUUCCUACACAGAAUCAGGGCUGAUGACCCAGCAGCCAUUUCUUUCCUUCUUCUCCCCGGCUUUCAGAUUCCAUCUCCACUUUAGAGGCUGAAAACGUCAGCAACUCACUUUCGCAGCCUGCCUUGUAGCUAGAGUACAUGGCCUGUUCUUGGUCAGUUGGACACGAAGGAAAGUCUGGUGGAGUUGCUUCUGGGAAAGGCUUUCCUCCUUGAUAAAAGAGAGACUCAUAGGGGAAAGCCUUCUUUAUGUCUGCCUUUGAAUGAGGUAAUAUAACAAUGUUAUGGCUGGAGCUGCUGCAGCCAUCUUGCCACCAUGAGGGAACAAAUCUAAGAUAAAAGCCAACACACGGAGGACUGUGGCAUGGAAAGAGGCAAAGGAUCCUAGAUGACACCACAGAAACCUAGAUUUCACCACAGAAAUAAUCCUAAAACAGCCCAAAGACUAGAUUCUUGUUAUACAAGAUAGUAAAUCAUCUUCAUCAUUUAAGACACAUGUAGUGGGGUGCUUGUUUUCUUGCAGCCAAAAAUCAUCUUAAUAGGUAUGCCUUGCACUUGUUUCCAAGAAAUUUCCAUGAUGGAAUUUAAUUUUGCCUCUAAAAUAAAGUUUUUUUGAUUUUGUAUU